AGAAGAUAAACAAAAUUUUGGGGCCUGCUAAACUUGAGAGUGUGAGGCCUCAGCGUUUAAAGGUGGAACUCCAAGUAACAGCACCAUCGGCAUAAAGUUAAACAAAGGCUCCAGAAGGACAUGGAAGAAGGGAACAAAGCCAGAAGUUUAACAUCAACAACAAGAAGGAAAAAGAAGAAAGUUAAAUAUCCUGCUCCCUAUUUGUUGCUAUCCCAUCUCAGCGUUUUUAGUACUCCUGUUCACCUGAAAUUGGAACGUUGUGGGUAGGUUGGAACGGGCAGGCCUUAAAUAGUUACAGUAAAUAAGAGUCUGGGAUUUCACCCUAUGAUUAUAUCCCUUGAAAGUCAUUUGUAUUUUAAAAUUUCUGUCUCUCAUCACCCCUUCCUCUUGUCUGUUAUGUUAACUUGAAGCCACAACUAGUAACUGUUAGAAAAAUUUAUUUCCAUAUCUGUUUCCCUUAAGUGUUGUUUUCCAAAAUGAGUUCUAUGAAAUGUCCAUAGAUGCUCCAUGAAAAAAAAGUUCUGUGGUUAAAUGUUUGAGAAAUUUGUGGUUACAUAAGUUAAACAAAUUUCUUUGCAA